UCUGAAUCUGCGUACGGCUCCGCAAACCAGUUGUAAACUAUAGCAAGCAGGCUCGGGGUCGGCUCUCACGGGUUGGCUUCGGGCGAUAUGGAUAACCCUGGUAAUUCUGAGGCUAAUACAUGAACGUAAAACCUGGUUGACUGGGCUUCGGUCUGGGAGGCUGGGGGAUGUGUGAUUGCAGGCUUGGGUAACACCGGGAAAGGGCGCACGUCCAGACCGCGCUAUAAAGGAUGGGACCUCUUCGGGGGACCCGCCCCAGCGGCUCUUGCUGUGUGCUUCUGACCUAUCAACUAGACGGCAGCGUAAGGGACAUGAAAUGGG
rnacentral:rRNA from 1 species